rnacentral:misc_RNA from 1 species
CAAAUACAUAUUUCGAGUUACCUGUACUGGUGUCACCGGAUUUGCACCGAUAAUCCUAGACCCACCACCCAUAGCGGUGAAAGGUGAUAAAUUGAUAUUUGUUUGAUGAUGUUGUGAAGACGAAGAGGUUUGUGUUAACGAUUGUUCAAUCGUGUUCUUCACAGCUGGGCUAGAAAAACUAGCUUCCCUCAUCACCCUGCUCACACUUGGGUCAUCGAGAAUCGAAAUUAUCAACUGUUCUAAUUCAACUUUCACAGCUAAAAGCGGUUGUUGUUGUUGUUCCGGACACCCUCUUCGUUGAUG